rnacentral:lncRNA from 10 species
UUUGGGGGCAUGGUAAUUACAAAGAUUUAUCUUGCUACUGAAAUCUCAGAAGUUGAACAUAAUGAAAGCCCAGAACUAACUGGCACAGCUAUCCUGGCACAUAGAAUAAGUUUGGUUGAAAAGAAAAUCAACAGGGAGAAAACCUGAGCCGAGAGACAGAAAAUGAGGUGAUGUCUAGAGCAGUGAUUUCCAAAUGGGAGCAAAAGGAUCCAAGGGAAUGCUCAGAAAUAUGCAAUGGGGUACAGAAAGAAGACAUAUGCACUAACAUGAGCUCAUGGUGUUCCUCCACUUUGGAGGCCUGAAAAAGAAACACCGGGAAAAUUCUGCAGGACAUUUCACUACUCCACUGACUAAAAGGGCCAGGAAAUAUAGUCACCCAUAUGCCCAAAAAAGAAAAGAGCUGAAUAUUGUAUUUAAGAUUUGGUUUACUUAUCUCAAAAAGAAGUGACUAAAAGUUCAAUGGGAGAAAUGAUAGAAGCUAAUUGUGAUAAAACAGAUAAAGUACAUGGCACAAUGGAUUACACUUUUUUCUUGAAUAACUGACAGGGGAUCUGAAAUGAUGAAUAUAUUACAUGGAGAUCCUGGGUCCCAAUUCCCAGGAAAGUGAUCUACCUGCUACCUCAACAAGCCAACCAUAUCAGAAUGCAAUACAACAUUCCUAAGGCAAGUAUGUGCAUGUGCUAGGAGUUUAGUGGAUUAAACAUUCCUUUUCUCUGCAUGAGAAUUUCUCAUUAAUACUUCUUUAUGGAUAGAAGGCAAGAACAGAAUCAAUAAACAGCGCAAAAUCAAGGCACCACCCUAGAGUUCUGUCUUUCCUUUAUCCUUAUAGCCACUUUUCUAUAUCUACAUUCACUACAAAAUCAGCCCCUCGAUAUCCAAUACAGGCCAUGUAAGGUAUUCCAAAAAUUAAAACUCAAUUGCGAGAGACACUGAAGGACAAAGAAUUUUCCACAGUGCUUCCUGAGCCUUUCUCCCAUGCCCUUGUAUAUAAUCUCAACUCCUAACUGCUUUAGUUCAACACUGUUGACAAAAGUCUUAUUGCCUAAACAAUAACGGAUCUGCACAAUCCCUUUCUUUUCGAGAAAUAUCUAUGACAAACAUCAACUUCAGCUCACCCCUCCUGUUAAACCUCCUUAAAACACUCUGCCCUCCUGCUCCAAGUAUGAAUGUUCAUUUGGAGCCUUCUCAUGCCUGGCAUUUUCAAUAAAAGCUUAUGUUAAUAGGGCUUGAUUGAUUUUCUUCCACACAAUUUAUAAAAUACACGCUUAACAUUUUACUCUCUUAGAAUCAACAUCAUGAUGACUUUGCAAAUCUUCAAUGUCACACUCUGUAUUAUUCUCAAAUAAUAUUGUGAGUCCCCUGUUUUCAAAUGUAUACUUGGCCUCUUUUCAAACAUAUAUGUUAGCUUCCUUUUAAAAUAGCCUUUUAGAGUUCAUUUGCUAGCCAGUACCAGAUGCUCUAAAAUUGGGGACUGCAAAGUAAUUUCAGAAGGAGUGAAAUUUGGUGUCCUACCCAGAUUUCUAAAAGAGAAGCUGGAAAAAUCAUGUGUUAAUGAGAGUCAUGUGGUAGAUGCCCAAUUCUUGGCUAGAGGAAGUCAUUUUUUCCUGUAUGCAGAUCCCCAGCAAAUACUACAAUACAUUUUCAAAUAAAUAGUAUAUGGGUCUGUUUCCCCAUAACCACCAUUGCUGACUACCUAAUCUGACACCAUUGUUAACUGGAAAUACAACUAUUUCCUUCUAAUUGCUAUCCCUAUGUCCUUAUUAGCCUCAAACAAUCUAUUCUUUUCAUAGAAGCCAGAGCAUUCUUUCAAAAAUGUAAGCAGAAUGUGCCACUCUUCUGCUUAAACUCCCAAGACUUUACUCCACAGUGCCGUUUUUGAUUUCUGAAAACACCUUGUUCUCUCCUUGCCCUUGUUGCUUCCUUGGUGUCCUUGCUCUCACCUCCUCCCAAGAUUGUCUUUUUCUCAUCAUUUAGGUCUCUGCUUAAAAAGUCUCUUUUUAAGAGAUGCUUCUUAGAACACAGAAUCUAAGCUCUACCUCUCCCAUCAAUACUCUUCAUCACAUUGUCCUGUUCUAUUUAUUGAGCUUACGUUUUGGAGUACUUAAUAAUAUUUUAAUUUAUUCUAUUCAUUUUUACUUGUUUGCUAGUUUUCUGGACCACACCAAUCAUUUAUGCUACACAGAGCAAGGAACUUAUUUGUCUUGUCAACAGUGGUAACUUCAGUUAUGUAGAAUAGACUUGACAUAUAGCCAUAUAGUGGGUACUCAGUAUAAUUUCUGUUUAUUUUUAAUUUUUUUAUGUGUAGUUUUUACUUUGCGAUAAGAAUAUAUGGAAUUUCUCUUCUCUGAAACUCCCUUAUUCUGUAACUUCAGCUUUUUAUGUUCUUAUUUGUUAUUUUCUUCCUGUUGAUAGAAUUUUGUC